CCUUGUCCUCCAUGCAUUUGGCAGCAUCACCAGGAGACAUUUGGGGUUGCCAUGCUUAGAUUGGCGGGGGCACUACUGGCAUCUAGUGAGUCAUGCCCCAAAGAUGCAGCUAAGCCUCCUCCAUGGCACAAGUUAGCCUCAUAACAAAGAGCCAUUCAGUCCCAAAUGUCACUAGUGCCAAGGGUGAGAAACUCUGCUCCAAGCUCUUAGUUGACUCUGCUGCACACCCAGCCUUGGGCCAGCUGAGCUGUGGGGAUGACAGGAAAGGGGGGCUGAUUCAGGCUGAGGCAGAGCUGGGAGGCCACAGGACAGCCGUCACAGGUAGGAGCUGUCUGGGCAGGAUGACUGGGAAUUCACCCAGAGGGAGGACCCAGAAGGAGCAGAAAGAAGACUAUGGUGCAGGAAUUUCUUCUGGCAGCCCUCGUGUCAGUAUCUUCAGAUCUCCUACUGCAGAGAAUUCUUUUGCAAAGACUUUUAUCUCCCCGAAGUGGACUCUUCAGUCUGGAAGCAUUAAAACAGGGAUUGCAGGCAAACUCCGGCUUUCCACGUAGGUCUGAUAUUUUUUUUUUAAGAAAUGAGUUAUUCCUUCUGAAAGUUCUAAUUGUCUGGUUCUGUCAAAGCACACAAUAUCUCAGGCUCUGACUUCUCCCUUAUGGUGACAGAAAGGCAUUUGUCAAAUUCCGUAUAGGUUUGUUUCUCAGCUUUUUGCUGUAAUCCCUCUUAUGAAUUUGAAGGAAUAAAUGAACGCUUAAACAUUUGAGGAAACCAUUGUAUUCCAACUAAUUUUUUUUUUUUUUUCAAAGGAAAAGAGCCCUGGAAAGAUGGGACCCUUUUGUCUGACUUUACAGCAAAUUUGGAAGCUGACUGAGCCUUACUCCUUUGGUGGAAAGAGUCUUGGGUGGCUGGUGCAGCCAGGACUACUACAGGGUUCAAACUUAUAAAGUUUGCGAGUUGGUAGCCUUCUUCUUCCUUCUUUUUCUUCUGCUUUUUCUUUUCCUCUUCUUCUCUCCCUCUUUUGCCUCUCCUUCCCUUCCUCUCCUCCUCCUCCUCUUCAUCAAUCUCCUUCUUCUUUCAGCAUUUUAUAAUGAGCAUUUUCCAACCUACAGCAAACCUUACUGAAUACUUAUAUACCUACCAUCCAGCCUCUACUGUUAAUGUUUUUGCUACAUUUGCUUUUUCAGAUUGCUCUCAACUUACCUUUAUUUUAUCAUAUCGAUCUACUCAUCCACCCUUCCACCUAUCCAUUAAUUUCUCUAAUUUUUAAGGAUUUCAGGUUAAAUUUGCAGUAUCAAUGUACCCGCCCCUAAAUGUUUCAGCGUUCAUGUCAUCACCUAUAGUUCAGUAUUUGUUUAUAGGAUUUUUUUCUUUGAAAUAAAACUAAUAUACAGUGAAGUGUACAGUUCUUAAGUGUACUUGAGUUUUGGUAAAUGAUUACCUUGUGUAGCCCAGAUUCCUAUAAAGAUUCUGCACAUACACAUCACCUCAGAAAGUUCCCUUGUCAGAUCAGCCUCUGCUCUUCUCAAGGGAACUACUCUUCUAGUUAUCUUCUACUAUGAGUUGAUUUUGUCUCUUCUUGGACUUCGUAUACUUGGAAUCUCACAAUCUGCACUCUUUUGGGUGAGACUUCUAUCAUUCAGAAUAAGAUCUGUGAGACUCACCCAUGGUGUUGUGGGUACAUUAUCCACUCCUUUUCUUGCCGAGUAUGACUCUAUUGUGUGAACAUAUCCUGUAUAUUAUUCAUUCUCCUAUCGAUGGACACUUGGAUGGCUUCCAAUUUAGAAUUAUUAUGAAUAAAGCUGCUCUGAAUACUAUUGUACAAGUCCUUUUGUGUACAAAUAUUUCCAUAUCUUUUGUGUAAAUACCUAGCAAUGGAAUUAUUGGGUUGUAGAGUAUAUGUAUAUUUACAGGAAGCUGAUAGGCCUUUUCCUAAAGUAAUUGUACCAUUUUAUUGGAGAAGGAAAUGGCAACCCACUCCAGUAUUCUUGCCUGGAGAAUCCCAGGGAAGGGGGAGCCUGGUGGGCUGCCGUCUACGGGGUUGCACAGAGUUGGACACGACUGAAAUGACUGACUUAGCAGCAGCAGCAGCAGCAACAUAGUCUUACUAACAUUGUAUGAGAAUUCUAGUUGUUCCACAAUCUUGCCAAAAUAUGGUGUUACCAGUCACUUUAAAUGUAACUCUUUGGGCAAGUAUGUAGAAGGAUCUAAUUGUGGUUUUCAUUUGUAUUUUUUCUGAUACCAGUGAUGCUAAAUGCCUUUUCAUCCACUUUUUGGUCAUACAGAGGUCUUAUUUUGUAAAGUAAUCAUUCACAUCUUUUGUCAAUUUUUGAAUGGGUUGUUUGCCUUUUUAUAAUUGGUUGUAGAGGUUCUUUAUAUUCAGGACACCAGCAGUCCUUUGUCAGAUAUAUGUUUUAAAAAUAUUUUCUUUCAAUCUGUAGCUUGCUGAAGCAUUUCCUUAGUGACACCUUAUGAUAAGCAGCUUUUAGUUUUGAUGAAAUAUAAUUUGUUAUCUUUUCUUUUGUGUCAUUUUCUGUAAAGUAACAAAUUUCUGAUUAUUUUGAAAUCUCUUCUCCUUUGUCUUCCUCUAAAAGCUUCACUGUUUCAUUUUUCAAAAUUGUGUAUGUGAUCAGUUUUGAAAUGGUUUCUAUGUUUGGUGUGAGGCAGUGGUUGAAGUCCAUUUUUUUUUCCAGGUAGAUAUCUAGUUAGCCUGGAAUCAUUUGUUAAAAAGAUCUAUGUAUCUCUAUUGAACUGCUUUGUCACCUUUGACAAAAACUAAAUACUUGUAAAAUGUGGGUCUAAUGCUGGACUCCCUAUUCUGGGCUCUCCACUGGUGAAGAUGAAUUGAGAUUUAUUAUUGUUAUUUAUUUAUUUAUUUAUUUUUGCAUAUGCACAUCCAAAUGUUUCAGUUCCAUUUGUUGAAAAGGCUGUCCAUUUUCCACUGAAUUGCUUUUGUAUAUUUGUUUAAAAUCAAUUGACCAUGUAUGUAUGGGUCUAUUUCUUGAUGGUCUUUCCUUAUCUUUGAUGCAAAUGUGUAUCCUUUUGCCAGUAUAGUAAGUCUUGAUAUCAAGUAGUAGGCAUAUUUUUUUUUUUUUCCAAAAAUUGCUUUGAAUAGUCCAAGUCUUUUUCAAUUCUGUUUAAAUUGGACUCAGCAUGUCAGUUUCUGAGAAAAAAGAAAACCUGCUGAAAUUCUGACUGGGAAUCAUAUUUAUAGAUCAGUUUAGGGGGACAUGAACAUGAUAGGCCUCCAUUUGUCUUCUUUUUCUUAGAGUUUUCUAUAGCUUUUAAUGUACAGAACUUGCACAUCUUUUGAAAAUUUACU
rnacentral:lncRNA from 1 species